CCUACGGGUGGCAGCAGUGAGGAAUAUUGGUCAAUGGCCGGAAGGCUGAACCAGCCAUGCCGCGUGAAGGUCAGUGCCCUAUGGGCGUUAAACUUCUUUUGUGCGGGAGCAAUAAUGGUCACGUGUGGCCAGACGAGAGUACCGUACGAAUAAGCGACGGCUAAAUCCGGGCCAGCAGCCGCGGUAAAACGGGGGAUGCAAGCGUUAUCCGGAUUUAUUGGGUUUAAAGGGGGCGGAGGCUGGGAGGUAAGUCAGCGGUGAAAUGCCCCCGCUCCACGGGGUGAAGUGCCAUUGAUACUGUCUUGCUGGAGUGCGGAUGCCGUGGGAGGAAUGUGUGGUGUAGCGGUGAAAUGCAUAGAUAUCACACAGAACACCGAUUGCGAAGGCAUCUCACGAAUCCGCGAUUGACGUUGAUGCACGAAAGCGUGGGUAUCAAACAGGAUUAGAUACCCUUGUAGUC
rnacentral:rRNA from 1 species